rnacentral:rRNA from 1 species
AUUGAACGCUGGCGGCAGGCCUAACACAUGCAAGUCGAACGGUAACAGGAAGCAGCUUGCUGCUUUGCUGACGAGUGGCGGACGGGUGAGUAAUGUCUGGGAAACUGCCCGAUGGAGGGGGAUAACUACUGGAAACGGUAGCUAAUACCGCAUAAUGUCGCAAGACCAAAGAGGGGGACCUUCGGGCCUCUUGCCAUCGGAUGUGCCCAGAUGGGAUUAGCAUGUUGGUGAGGUAGCGGCUCACCAAGGCGACGAUCCCUAGCUGGUCUGAGGGGAUGACCAGCCACACUGGAACUGAGACACGGUCCAGACUCCUACGGGAGGCAGCAGUGGGGAAUAUUGCACAAUGGGCGCAAGCCUGAUGCAGCCAUGCCGCGUGUAUGAAGAAGGCCUUCGGGUUGUAAAGUACUUUCAGCGGGGAGGAAGGGGUUAAGGUUAAUAACCUUAGCCAUUGACGUUACCCGCAGAAGAAGCACCGGCUAACUCCGUGCCAGCCGCCGCAGUAACAC